AGUGUUUUAGUCCUUAGGGCAUUAGCUUUGAAGGGGCUAAAGGUUUCUUCACUU
rnacentral:tRNA from 1 species